AGCUAGUCGCCUCCGAUGCUCUGAACACGCGAAUGGCUCAUUACACAGUUAUAGUUUAUUUGAUAUAUUAAAUGGAUAACUGUAGAAAAACUAGAGCUAAUACAUGCCGAAGCCGCAAGGUUGUAUUUAUUAGAUAUUCCAAUUAGGUGAAUCAUGAUAACUUUGCAAAUCUCGGUUUUGCCGAGAUAAAUCAUCCAAGUUUCUGCCCUAUCAUGCUUUCGAUGGUAGUGUAUUGGACUACCAUGGCUUUCACGGGUAACAGGGAAUUAGGGUUCUAUUCCGUAGAAGGAGCCUGAGAAACGGCUACUACAUCUACGGAAGGCAGCCUCGGCGUAAAUUACCCAAUCCUGACUCAGGGAGGUGGUGACAAGAUAUAACAACGCAAUUUAAUUGUGAUUGUAGUGAGGGUUUUCCAACCGAACCACUAGUACGAUUAGAGGGCAAGUCUGGUGCCAGCAGCCGCGGUAUUCCAGCUCUAUAGCGUAUUUAAAGUUGCUGCAGUUAAAAGCUCGUAGUGGAUUUCAGGAUGUGUACUCUCUCGAGAUGCACCUACUAGUCUUUGACUUGUUCUGGGAAAUAUAAGUGUUAAGCAGGCAUGGAAAAACUUACAUGGAUAACAAGGUCUGAAUUGGUAUUCAGUUCUAAUAAAACGUGGGGCUGUUUAUUGCAGGGAUCGGUUUUAAUCUUGGGAGUGCGAGUUUCACAAUGACACGGCUACAGUGACUCCACUAUGGGGAUAUAAGCGGAUCAGGCAUAAUGGACUCUACCUCGCUGACUCACGCACUGAUGUAU
rnacentral:rRNA from 1 species